CUGCUUCUCCUUCAGAAUUUCAUAAACGGACAAAUCUUUCGCCUUUUACUAAAGAUUUCCGUGGAGAAGUAUUAAUUGG